AUUGAACGCUGGCGGCAGGCCUAACACAUGCAAGUCGAGCGGUUGACGGGAGCUUGCUCCCUGAUUCAGCGGCGGACGGGUGAGUAAUGCCUAGGAAUCUGCCUAUUAGUGGGGGACAACGUUUCGAAAGGAACGCUAAUACCGCAUACGUCCUACGGGAGAAAGCAGGGGACCUUCGGGCCUUGCGCUAAUAGAUGAGCCUAGGUCGGAUUAGCUUGUUGGUGAGGUAAUGGCUCACCAAGGCGAAGAUCCGUAACUGGUCUGAGAGGAGGAUCAGGCACACGGGAAAUGAGACACGGUGCAGACGUCUACGGGAGGCAGCAGUGGGAAAUAUUGGACAAUGGGCGAAAGCCUGAUCCAGCCAUGGCGCGUGUGUGAAGAAGGUCUUAGGAUUGUAAAGCACUUUAAGUUGGGAGGAAGGGUUGUAGAUUAAUACUCUGCAAUUUUGACGUUACCGACAGAAUAAGCACCGGCUAACUCUGUGCCAGCCGCCGCGGUAACAC
rnacentral:rRNA from 1 species